GAUGAACGCUGGCGGCGUGCCUAAUACAUGCAAGUCGAGCGAACAGACGAGGAGCUUGCUCCUCUGACGUUAGCGGCGGACGGGUGAGUAACACGUGGAUAACCUACCUAUAAGACUGGGAUAACUUCGGGAAACCGGAGCUAAUACCGGAUAAUAUAUUGAACCGCAUGGUUCAAUAGUGAAAGACGGUUUUGCUGUCACUUAUAGAUGGAUCCGCGCCGCAUUAGCUAGUUGGUAAGGUAACGGCUUACCAAGGCAACGAUGCGUAGCCGACCUGAGAGGGUGAUCGGCCACACGGGAACUGAGACACGGUCCAGACUCCUACGGGAGGCAGCAGUAGGGAAUCUUACGCAAUGGGCGAAAGCCUGACGGAGCAACGCCGCGUGAGUGAUGAAGGUCUUCGGAUCGUAAAACUCUGUUAUUAGGGAAGAACAAAUGUGUAAGUAACUAUGCACGUCUUGACGGUACCGAAUCAGAAAGCCACGGCUAACUACGUG
rnacentral:rRNA from 1 species